GAUCAAGGAUGAAAAUAUCCAGAUCUAAGCAUCAGAGGCCUUCCAGGCUACCUGAUGUACAAUUUUUGUAGUUCUGAGA
ensembl:snoRNA